rnacentral:rRNA from 1 species
UACGAAGGGGGCUAGCGUUGCUCGGAAUCACUGGGCGUAAAGCGCACGUAGGCGGAUCUUUAAGUCAGGGGUGAAAUCCUGGAGCUCAACUCCAGAACUGCCUUUGAUACUGAAGAUCUUGAGUUCGGGAGAGGUGAGUGGAACUGCGAGUGUAGAGGUGAAAUUCGUAGAUAUUCGCAAGAACACCAGCGGCGAAGGCGGCGCUCUGGGCCGGUACUGACACUGAGGAGCGAAAGCGUGGGGAGCAAACAGG